AGCGAACGCUGGCGGCAGGCCUAACACAUGCAAGUCGAACGAACCUCUCGGGGUUAGUGGCGGACGGGUGAGUCACACGUGGGAACGUGCCUUUAGGUUCGGAAUAACUCAGGGAAACUUGUGCUAAUAAAGAAUGUGUCCUUCCGGGGAAAGAUUGGUUGGCCUUAGAGCGGCCUGGGUCGGUUUGGCUAGUUGGGUGGGGUAAUGGCACGGCCAGGCGGGGGGCAGUAGCUGGGCUGAGAGAAGGCUCAGCCACAUUUGGACUGAGGCCCGGCCCAAACUCCUACGGAGGGGAGGGGAAGAUAAUCUUACGCAAGGGACGAAGACCUGACGCAGCCGUGCCGCGUGAAUGAGGAAGGGCUUUGGAUUGCAAAAUUCUUUCUCCCGAGGCGAUAAUGACGGUACCGGGAGAAGAAGCCCCGGCUAACUUCGUG
rnacentral:rRNA from 1 species